GACGAACGCUGGCGGCGUGCCUAAUACAUGCAAGUUGAGCGCUGAAGGUUGGUACUUGUACCAACUGGAUGAGCAGCGAACGGGUGAGUAACGCGUGGGGAAUCUGCCUUUGAGCGGGGGACAACAUUUGGAAACGAAUGCUAAUACCGCAUAAAAACUUUAAACACAAGUUUUAAGUUUGAAAGAUGCAAUUACAUCACUCAAAGAUGAUCCCGCGUUGUAUUAGCUAGUUGGUGAGGUAAAGGCUCACCAAGGCGAUGAUACAUAGCCGACCUGAGAGGGUGAUCGGCCACAUUGGGACUGAGACACGGCCCAAACUCCUACGGGAGGCAGCAGUAGGGAAUCUUCGGCAAUGGACGAAAGUCUGACCGAGCAACGCCGCGUGAGUGAAGAAGGUUUUCGGAGCGUAAAACUCUGUUGGUAGAGAAGAACGUUGGUGAGAGUGGAAAGCUCAUCAAGUGACGGUAACUACCCAGAAGAGGACGGCUAACUACGUG
rnacentral:rRNA from 1 species